UGGGUAGGCCAGACAAUCGCGUACAUCUUUGUAUGAGGAAAGUCCGGGCUCCAUAGGGCAAGGAUGCCGGAUAACGUCCGGCGUAGGUAACUAUAGGGAAAGUGCAACAGAAACAUUCCGCCGAAACGGGUAAUGCCGUGGUAAGGUUGAAAUGGUGAGGUAAGAGCUCACCGGCGUCAUGGAGACAUGGCGGCCGUGUAAACCCCAUCCGGAGCAAGGUCAAAAUUGGGCGCAAAAGGUGGCUGCCCGUCGCCGCCCAGGAUGGUAGACCGCAUGAGCGUGCAGUAAUGUUACGCCACAGAUAGAUGAUUGUCUAAUACAGAACCCGGCUUAUAGGUCUGCCCACGAU
rnacentral:RNase_P_RNA from 1 species